rnacentral:rRNA from 1 species
GGGCCCGCACAAGCGGUGGAGCAUGUGGUUUAAUUCGAUGAUACGCGAGGAACCUUACCAGGGCUUAAAUGUAGUGGGACAGGUCUAGAGAUAGACCCUUCUUCGGACUCAUUACAAGGUGCUGCAUGGUUGUCGUCAGCUCGUGCCGUGAGGUGUCAGGUUAAGUCCUAUAACGAGCGCAACCCCUAUCGUUAGUUGCCAGCGGGUCAUGCCGGGAACUCUAGCGAAACUGCCGGUGCAAAACCGAGAGGAAGGUGGGGGAUGACGUCAAAUCAUCACGGCCCUUACGUCCUGGGCCACACACGUGCUACAAUGGCCGGUACAGAGAGCAGCCACUACGCGAGUAGGAG